UCGUCGUAGUAUCAUCGUUGUAUUUUAUAGCGAUUCUCAGAGACAAUCAUUUCAAAUACAAUCAGAUCAAUACAGCAUUGCAUAUCUUUAUACUGAUAAAAAAAAUUGGAUAAAUAAACUACAAUUUCGAAUCUUACUGAAGUUUAAUUAGGACCUUAUUAAACAUUUGCUUUCACGAUGCAUUUGAUCAGUUUAAUGAGAAUCUUAAAACAAAUUUUAUGUUGGUCACAUUUAUUAUUAUUAGCUAUUUUUGUUUGUAUUUCAAUGAUACCAGUUGCUGUGAUAUGUAAAGCAAAUAAUGAGAAACAUACUGUUACGGAAAAUAUGUCAGUAUUCGUCACAAAUGCUAGUAUUCUGGAUAAUAAUAAGACUAAAGAGCAAGUCCCUACAGAACAACACUCUGUCAAUCUUAUCAUAUUUUAUAUUGCUAUUGCAAUUGGAAUUCUAUUAAUAAUACGGCUCUAUUUUUUUAGGCAAUGUGUAAUCAUCGUAGAAACCAUCAUUCAAACCGUCAUAAAUAUCAUUUGGGUUUUAUUCAACAUUCUACGUCGAUUGAUAUCGUAUGUCUUGAACAUACGUAACGUCUCCACCCUUUUUCAUGUGCUUGCGCGUCCUGCUGAACAAGUUCUAGUUGUCUAUCAAAACGACGUGCAAGUCCCUUACGAAAACAUAUAGAGAUAACGGAGAAAACGACGCAGUCAUAUUUAAUGAGCGACAGCCUCCAGAGUACGACUAGUGACGUUUUACAUAGUACCGCUAAAAUUUACUUUACCUAAUAUUAGAGAUGAGAUUUCGUAAGUAUACGUUAUUAAGCCCGAAUCUCAAUUUCAUGUUGAUCAGCUUUUAAAAAAUAAUCGACCAAAUUAGCCAAAAUUUGUUUAUUCAAAUUACGACGGUUCGACUAUAUAGUUGUAGUCCUUAUCAAGUAUAAAAUUAAAUAAUUAACUUUGCAACCACUCAACAUAUUCGAGUUAAAAAAUUAUCGACGAAGUUAUAUAAUGACAUGACGUUCUCACUUCUUUUAAUGUGUGACAAGGAUGCUAAUAAUUUUUUAACUGGAAUAUGUUGAGUGGUUGCAAAGUUAAUUAUAUUUUUCAUUGGAAUUUUGAACUUGUUAAGGACCAUAACCAUAUGGUCGAAACGUAAUUUGAAUAAACAAAGUUUGUCUAGUUUGGUCGUUUAUUUUUAAAAUUCUGAUCCUGUUAAUAAUUUAUUAGCGAUA